GCCACCCCAGGAUGGGCGGGAU
rnacentral:rRNA from 1 species